rnacentral:rRNA from 1 species
CGCAUCUGUGCAUGCAGCAUAUCAAUAAGCGGAGGAAAAGAAACUAACAAGGAUUCCCCUAGUAACGGCGAGUGAAGCGGGAAGAGCUCAAAUUUGAAAUCUUAAAGGGUUUCCCUUUACGAAUUGUAGUUUAAAGAAGUGUUUUCUGUUGAGGUUUUGGUAAAAGUUCUUUGGAAUAGGACAUCAUAGAGGGUGAGAAUCCCGUAUUUGACCUUUACUUUCAACUUUGUGAUACACUUUCAAAGAGUCGGAUUGUUUGGGAAUGCAGUCCAAAAUGGGUGGUAAAUUUCAUCUAAAGCUAAAUAUUGGCGAGAGACCGAUAGCGAACAAGUACCGUGAGGGAAAGAUGAAAAGAACUUUGAAAAGAGAGUUAAACAGUACGUGAAAUUGUCAAAAGGGAAGCGUUUGACACCAGUGUUGUUUUUCUGAAAAUCAAUUAAAGAACUGUUUAUGCUAAGUUGUUUAGACUUUAUCAGCUAACUGUUUAGUUUUGAGCUUUUCUUUAAUGCACCUUUCAGUUAACAAGUCAACAUCAAUCUCUUUUGCUGUAAAAAAGCUUGAGGAAGGUGGCUUGAGAUUCGUCUUAAGUGUUUAUAGCCUCUUGCCUAUGCAGUCGGAGAGAUUGAGGUCUGCAGCGUAGAUCCUUCGGGGCUAAAUGCAUUUGUGCUAAGUUAUAACAUUUCAUAGACAACUUGUUGACUAUGAUUUGUCUUGUAGCUUACUCGCUUAUGUUAUUUUACCUACGCUUAGGAUGUUGACAGCAGUAUAGACUGU